rnacentral:ncRNA from 1 species
GAAAAAGCGAUGAAGAGAAGAGUAGGUAAUGGUAAUCAUUCACAGAGAGCUCCGUAUGGUGAAAAGGAGUAAGGAUUUCAUUACUGAAGCAAGCCUCUGAGCAGCACAUUGGAUCCAUUUAAGUGAUAAUGUGACAGGAGCUCCUGUUAUAGAGCUAUGGUAUAUGUAUGUGUUUCAUACCGUACCUAAUGAGGGUAAAAUGGGAACAUAUUACCAAACUGGGGUGGCACCACGACGCGCAAUAACUCGUCCUCAAG